rnacentral:lncRNA from 1 species
AGAAGGAGAUGGCUCAGUAGACUCUGGGCCUGCCUCACAACUCUGAGGAGUGGGUUCAGAUGCUCAUCAGUUAUGUAGGAUGUCCAUAAGAAUCAGUUGAGCAGAGUGGACUGCCUUUUUAGCCCUUGAGGUGGAGAUAGCAGAUAGCUGGGACAAGCUAAAUCAAGCUGAAACAGAGGGCCCCUGCUCAGCAAACAUGGUUUUGACAGAGUAGAAGAUGGGCCAUGAGCAAACAGUAGAGGCUAUGGAAAGAAAGGCUACCCAAAUUCUCUAGGUAGAGAAAUGCAAAUGUAAAUCACACAUGCUGUAUAUACCAUUUCUCACUGAUUGAUUGGCAAGCAUGUUAGUAACACGGAUCUUUGAGGAGAGAUGCUAGAAAUUGGGUCCUUUUACAUCACUUUUGGAGUUUGAUCUACUUCAGGUGAUUAGAUGAUACCCCUAAAAAUGUGAACAUGAGGAUGAAGAGAUGGCAGAGGCAUUCUUGCAGAGGCUUGAGUUUUGUUCUUAAGCACCUGCUUUGGAAGGUUCAAAACUGACAUGAGCCCCAGUUGCAGGGCCGUCACAUAAACUCACACAGACACACACAUUACACGUUCAUUCAAAUGAUAAAUAAAUCUCUUUUGUUUUGUUUUUAAGAUCUAUUUAAUUUAUAUGAGGACACUGUUGCUGUCUUCAGACACAACAGAAGAGGACAUUGGAUCCCGUUACAGAUGGCUAUGAGCCACCAUGUGGUUGCUGGGAAUUGAACUCAGACCUCUGGAAGAACAGUCAGUGCUCUUAAAGAUGCUGAGCCGUCUCUCCAGCCUCAAUUUCUCUGUUUUUAAAAUCUGUUUACCCAGUAUGCUUUGAGAUAAAUAGCUACUAUUAAUAUAAAACAGCAAGGUGUGUUUGUAGUUGCAAAAGAGUAGUGACAGUUGUUGUUGUGUACCUAGUACAAGUAUGCUUGAAAUAUCCAGUUAACCUCAAAGAAAGGAGGGGAAGGCAUAGCUACAGUGUUAGGUGGAAAAAGGAGGUUUGGUCUUCCUUACAUUUUUAUGCUGGGUGCUGGUAAUGGAACCCAGGGCUUUGAGCAAGCACACUUACACUGGGUUCUGGAUCCCUAACCCAGAUUAAUAUUAAAUGCCACUUCCAUUGUCUUCACCUGCUGCAACUGAACAAACACAUGCUUUGGGCUAGAGAAAGGGCUUAGCAGCCGAGAGGAUUCAGAUUCAGUUCCCAGCAUCCAAAUGACAGCUAACAAUCAUCUGUAACCACUUGUAGGGGUAACUGUUGCCCUUUCGUGGCUUCCAUGGGCACUCUGAUUACAUGAUCUACAGGCAGGGGGAAAAAAACACCGUACACAUAAAAAUCAGAAUACGUGUUUUAAAAAACCACGAGUUUAAUUUUUACAAGAGAUGUUUUAGGAGUAUUGCUCUACAAAGCAGGCUGAAAGAGUUAACAUAGCACUAAGUUUUUCUAAAAGAUUAAUUCAUUGUGAGUUUCACAUUGUACUCCAGUUCCACUCCUUUCUCCGGCUCUCCAUAUCCACUUCUGCACGUGCACUCUCCCCCUCACCCCACAGAGUACAAAAACAAAAAAAUCAUCUCAUGGAAGCUGCAGUGUGCCACUGUCACACGGUACGUCCUUUUGCCCGAAUAGCUUCAUUUGCUAAUGUUCAUUGCAGUGAAUUAUUGGUCGGGUUAGAAGCCUCUGACUUCUGCCACACUUUCAAAACUGCAUCUUCUCUGGGACUCCUCUUAGAUAUGCUGUUACUGCCCAGUCAUGAAGGUGCAGCAGCUUUGGUUCUGUAGGACUGGCCCCUUUCAGAAGUUUAUAGAUGGGGUAGAUGUUGGUGGGCCUGAGUAAUGGAUAGGUUGGUCUGCCGCCAGCUCUUCUGCACCAGCACCCCCAGGGUGAGCUCUCCCACUCUGCGCAGGUGAGGGGCAGGACUCAUACCAUCUGGGCUAGCUAUAAAACCUUUCUAUUGACACUACUAGAGAAAGCAAGGAAAGGUGUCACAGGCCUAAUUGUAGCACUUGGGAGGAAGCAGAGGGUCAGGAACUCAAGGCCAUUCUUGGCUACGUGAUGAGUUAGAGGCUAACCUGAACUAGGUAAGACUGUUUUAAAACAGAAAAAGAAAUAUGGCGAAAGUGCAAUGUGAGUGUGAAUAGCAAAUAAGGGAAUCAAUAAAUUUGUUUGAUAAGAGUCUCAUUUAUACAAAGUGAGUUCCAGGAUAGCCAGGGCUAUAUAGAGAAGCCCUGUCUCG